GUCCUCGACCUCUAUUUGCCCGCGAAAAACGUUAAACGUUCGAACGACGUUCGGGUCGCCUCGGCCCCGUGCCGGGCGGCCCGAUGUCCGUGAGGAAUGC
rnacentral:misc_RNA from 1 species